GGAUAGCGUGGAAACCAUGCUUGACGUUCAGCUGCUCAGUUGACGUCCGUGCUCUGGGAUCCAGAAGUCGGCUGAAUGAGCCUGUGGGGUGCUGCCACCCAUUCAUCGAUUCAGGCAGUCGGUAUAAAAUCGAAAAGGUAUUCAACUAUGUGCCGAAUAUCAUUAGCUAACCCGUAGGUUGCACGCAGAUUGUACGUCAAACCAAGUUGGUAAAGUACCAACUCGGCUAAGUCCGUUGUCCUUAGUCAUAUAUCAUCGAUCUUAAUCGGUGGAAAGCUGAUUGGAACAAGAUUUAUUGAUCCAAGUCAGUUGGAACCACAGCAACUUGGUUGGCGAAAUGCACUUGGUCGGUUGAGAGGUGAGGA
rnacentral:lncRNA from 1 species